rnacentral:rRNA from 1 species
UGCGUAGGCGGAUUGAUAAGUCAGUGGUGAAAACCUUCAGCUUAACUGGAGACUUGCCAUUGAUACUGUUAGUCUUGAGUACGGUCAAGGUAGGCGGAAUGUGUAAUGUAGCGGUGAAAUGCUUAGAUAUUACACAGAACACCGAUUGCGAAGGCAGCUUACUGGGCCAUUACUGACGCUGAGGCACGAAAGCGUGGGGAGCGAACAGGAUUAGAUACCCUGGUAGUCC